rnacentral:lncRNA from 1 species
GUGCCCCUCCCUGUGUUUCUAAAGGACAAACUAAUUCUCCAUUUUACUAGUUUCGUCACAGUCAUCCUUUUCGGCUGGCUAUACUGUUGUGGCAUAUCAAACUGCUCCAACCAAGUCAGUUUCUUGGGAGGCAGGCCGACCACGUACUUACACACAGCAUCUAUCCCAGUGCCCUGCAUGUGUAACAGGUCCUACACAUUACUGAUUAAAACUAGGAGGGGCUCAAAUAACGACCUAAGUAGGGCCAGACAAUACUACCUGUCUCUAUUUACAAAAGGAUAUUUGGCGUUACUACACCACUGAAAAUGUCUAGUACACACAGAGCAGUGUUCAAGUGGAAGGAGCGCGCCACCGGACGGCAAAAAGAAGCAGGGUCCUAAUCCUGGUUUUGACACAAUCUCUGCAACUAUGGGAAAUCACACAAUCCCUCAGGGGCUCAGCUGUCAAAGGUGUACAAUAAGGGAGCUCCUGCGGAGGAUCGCAAGGUAUCUUUAGGCUCCCCAAUAUCCUCCAACACUGUCUCCUCACUGCCACAGAGACAGGAAAACUUUUACAGUUCCCAACGCGGGCAUUUCCCCGGUCCUGGAAACUCAGUAGCCUCAGGAUAAAGCUGAGAGCAGGGUGAGAAGCGGCCCAGUCCCCGCCCCGGCUCACCCGGUUCCUCCACCUGAGGGCGAGGGCGGCCGGUAGGUCGCCAGCUCCGAGCGGAAGCCCGCCCGAGCGGCUCCCGGGAGCGGCCCGGCGACUCAGUACGAUCUCACGUCCCGCCCCACGUCGCUGGCUCACAGCCCGCGUCCGCCCUCACCGGCCCAGGCCCCUGGCUCCCGCCCGCCGAGCCGCCCUCCUAGACUGUCUGUCGUCGCGCCCCAGGCCGGCGGGACCGUCAGCGUGAGGGGCUACCGCGGCAGCUUUAAGUGCUGAAUCACCACUUUGCAGCCGGGCGCCAAACCACCGUGAUCUGUGGGCCUGGAAGGCCGGGUGCUCUGAUCGCUUACCCACAGAGACACUCCAGGGGUGGCAGGCGGGCCCCGAGGACGGAGCGGAGGGUGCUGGGCAGCGCGGGGUGCAGCAGGCACGCGAGCCGGUACCACAUACCCCAGCGCAGCCGCUGGGAUCACGGCGAACGCUUCCUCCUGGCGCUGAGAGCCGGCCCAGCUCACUGCGCAUGCUCACUUCGCGCCCUGCCGCAGGAGAUGCUUCCGCUCCGGGUUUUCCGCAGAGCCGGACCCGACAAGGACAGCCGGGAGCCAGCAGCAAGAACCAGUAGCGAGAGCUGGGGUCAGGAAAAAGAUUAA